rnacentral:ncRNA from 1 species
UGCGGGAGCUUGUAUUACAGGCUGAGAGGAAGGUGUGACUUUCGACCGUUAACCUGAUGUGGAUAAUGCCAACGUAGGGAUGAUCAGUAAA